rnacentral:rRNA from 1 species
UACAGAGGUCUCGAGCGUUGUUCGGAUUCAUUGGGCGUAAAGGGUGCGUAGGUGGCACUGUAAGUCGGGUGUGAAAUCUCGGAGCUUAACUCCGAAACUGCAUUCGAUACUGCGGUGCUUGAGGACUGGAGAGGAGACUGGAAUUCAUGGUGUAGCAGUGAAAUGCGUAGAGAUCAUGAGGAAGACCAGUGGCGAAGGCGGGUCUCUGGACAGUUCCUGACACUGAGACACGAAGGCCAGGGGAGCAAACGGG